CCUACGGGUGGCAGCAGUCGAGAAUCAUUCACAAUGGGGGAAACCCUGAUGGUGCGACGCCGCGUGGGGGAAUGAAGGUCUUCGGAUUGUAAACCCCUGUCAUGUGGGAGCAAAUUAAAAAGAUAGUACCACAAGAGGAAGAGACGGCUAACUCUGUGCCAGCAGCCGCGGUAAUACAGAGGUCUCAAGCGUUGUUCGGAAUCACUGGGCGUAAAGCGUGCGUAGGCUGUUUCGUAAGUCGUGUGUGAAAGGCGGGGGCUCAACCCGCGGACGGCACAAGAUACUGCGAGACUAGAGUAAUGGAGGGGGAACCGGAAUUCUCGGUGUAGCAGUGCAAUGCGUAGAUAUCGAGAGGAACACUCGUGGCGAAGGCGGGUUCCUGGACAUUAACUGACGCUGAGGCACGAAGGCCAGGGGAGCGAAAGGGAUUAGAUACCCGAGUAGUC
rnacentral:rRNA from 1 species